GGGCCCGUAGCCUAGCGGAUAAGGCACCAGCCUUCUAACAACAAGGAAGAAAGCUGGUGAUCGCGGGUUCGAAUCCCGCCGGGUCCG
rnacentral:tRNA from 1 species